UACUGAUCUAUAAUAACACUGACAACCCCAAGGUAAGGGACUACUGCUCUAUAAUAACACUGACCACCCCAAGGUAAGAGACUACUGCUCUAUAAUAACACUGACCACCCCAAGGUAAGAGACUACUGCUCUAUAAUAACACUGACCACCCCAAGGUAAGAGACUACUGCUCUAAUAACACUGACCACCCCAAGGUAAGAGACUACUGCUCUAUAAUAACACUGACCACCCCAAGGUAAGAGACUACUGCUCUAUAAUAACACUGACCACCCCAAGGUAAGAGACUACUGAUCUAAUAACACUGACCACCCCAAGGUAAGAGACUACUGCUCUAUAAUAACACUGACCACCCCAAGGUAAGAGACUACUGCUCUAUAAUAACACUGACCACCCCAAGGUAAGAGACUACUGCUCUAUAAUAACACUGACCACCCCAAGGUAAGAGACUACUGAUCUAUAAUAACACUGACCACCCCAAGGUAAGAGACUACUGAUCUAUAAUAACACUGACCACCCCAAGGUAAGAGACUACUGAUCUAUAAUAACACUGACCACCCCAAGGUAAGAGAC